CCCAACAGCGGAGGCCGCCACUGAAGCUGACUUCCUACACUCCACAGGGGACUCCUCGGGUUACAAGCUUGGCCCAAAUGUUCCUGACUCCACUGCAUUGGCUGCCAAGGCUACCGGCGCCUAGUCAAGGCCAGCAGCAGGAGGGGACACUGCGUGCCUGCUACAUUCCGGACUUUGGGCUAAGCACUCUGCCAUCUUGAGCAACAGGGCCAAGAGGACCUGCACUUGUCCUGUCCUGUACCACCUAGGCCUGUAUCACCCAGAAGGGCAGAGAUGGCAGGGGGCAGAAGCUAAGCAGAAAAAUGCCACGCUCCUCCUCCUUGAGGCUGAAGCCAUCACUCACAGGACAGAGCCAGAAACCUGAUUUCCAGAGUCCAGGACCUA